GACGAACGCUGGCGGCGUGCCUAAUACAUGCAAGUCGAGCGAAUCAAUAGGAGCUUGCUCCUGUUGAUUAGCGGCGGACGGGUGAGUAACACGUGGGCAACCUGCCUGUAAGACUGGGAUAACACCGGGAAACCGGUGCUAAUACCGGAUAAUCCUUUUCCUCUCAUGAGGAAAAGCUGAAAGUCGGUUUCGGCUGACACUUACAGAUGGGCCCGCGGCGCAUUAGCUAGUUGGUGAGGUAACGGCUCACCAAGGCGACGAUGCGUAGCCGACCUGAGAGGGUGAUCGGCCACACUGGGACUGAGACACGGCACAGACUCCUACGGGAGGCAGCAGUAGGGAAUCUUCCACAAUGGACGAAAGUCUGGUGGAGCAACGCCGCGUGAGCGAUGAAGGCCUUCGGGUCGUAAAGCUCUGUUGUUAGGGAAGAACAAGUACCGGAGUAACUGCCGGUACCUUGACGGUACCUAACCAGAAAGCCACGGCUAACUACGUGCCAGCAGCCGCCGUAACAC
rnacentral:rRNA from 1 species